GGUAGAUAUUACAAGAAUCACUUUACAUCUCGGAAGUCCUGAUUUGUGAGUUACUAUUACAUUAUGAAACUCGAGGACUUCUUUACCUUGACUGAGAUGAGUAAUGGGCUCACUACUCCUUCUCGAGUCCAGGAGCUACUCUCCAUAAUGCAGAAGGAAAGAGAGUGUGAUGUCAAGAAUGCUGGUGAAAUAACAAAGCAGUGGUCUGCUGUUGCAAGCACAAUAGCUGCAACUGAGAAUAAAGAGUGUCUUGAACUCUUUAUCCAGCUAGAUGGACUCAGCUUUAUUCAGAGUUGGUUACGGGAUGCUCUAAGAUUUGGAAAUGAGACAGGUGAGUACUUU
rnacentral:misc_RNA from 1 species